UGGGGAAUAUUGCACAAUGGGCGCAAGCCUGAUGCAGCGACGCCGCGUGGGGGAUGACGGCCUUCGGGUUGUAAACUCCUUUCGCUAGGGACGAAGCUUUUUGUGACGGUACCUAGAUAAGAAGCACCGGCUAACUACGUGCCAGCAGCCGCGGUAAUACGUAGGGUGCGAGCGUUGUCCGGAAUUACUGGGCGUAAAGGGCUCGUAGGUGGUUUGUCGCGUCGUCUGUGAAAUUCCGGGGCUUAACUCCGGGCGUGCAGGCGAUACGGGCAUAACUUGAGUACUGUAGGGGUAACUGGAAUUCCUGGUGUAGCGGUGAAAUGCGCAGAUAGCAGGAGGAACACCGAUGGCGAAGGCAGGUUACUGGGCAGUUACUGACGCUGAGGAGCGAAAGCAUGGGUAGCGAACAGG
rnacentral:rRNA from 1 species